rnacentral:rRNA from 1 species
UACGUAGGGGACGAGCGUUGUCCGGAAUUACUGGGCGUAAAGGGCGCGCAGGCUGUAGAUCAAGUCAGCUGUGAAAUGUCUGGGCUUAACCCGGGCAUGCGGUUGAAACUGAUGUACUGGAGUGCUGUAGAGGCAAGUGGAAUUCCCAGUGUAGCGGUGGAAUGCGCAGAGAUCAGGAGGAAUACCGAAGGCGAAGGCAGUCUUCCAAGCCGUUAUUGACGCUCAACUGCGAAGGUGUGGGUAUCAAACAGGAUUA